UGGGGAAUAUUGGACAAUGGGCGAAAGCCUGAUCCAGCAAUGCCGCGUGUGUGAAGAAGGCCUUCGGGUUGUAAAGCACUUUAAGUUGGGAGGAAAAGCUGAGUGUUAAUAGCAUUUAGUGUUGACGUUACCAACAGAAUAAGCACCGGCUAACUCCGUGCCAGCAGCCGCGGUAAUACGGAGGGUGCAAGCGUUAAUCGGAAUUACUGGGCGUAAAGCGCGCGUAGGUGGUUUAUUAAGUCAGAUGUGAAAGCCCCGGGCUCAACCUGGGAAUGGCAUUUGAGACUGGUAGGCUAGAGUAUGGUAGAGGUGAGUGGAAUUUCAGGUGUAGCGGUGAAAUGCGUAGAGAUCUGAAGGAACAUCAGUGGCGAAGGCGACUCACUGGGCCAUUACUGACACUGAGGUGCGAAAGCGUGGGUAGCAAACAGG
rnacentral:rRNA from 1 species